rnacentral:rRNA from 1 species
CACGUAGGGGGCAAGCGUUGUCCGGAUUUAUUGGGCGUAAAGAGCUCGUAGGCGGCUCAGUAAGUCAGGUGUGAAACCUCCAGGCUCAACCUGGAGACGCCACCUGAUACUGCUGUGGCUAGAGUCCGGUAGGGGAGCGUGGAAUUCCUGGUGUAGCGGUGAAAUGCGCAGAUAUCAGGAGGAACACCGGUGGCGAAGGCGGGUCUCUGGGCCGAUACUGACGCUGAGGAGCGAAAGCGUGGGGAGCGAACGGG